rnacentral:sRNA from 1 species
AAAUUGCGUUAGGGAUUGAAAUGGCAUCCUUUUUUCUUUUUCGGAAAAAAGAUAUAAUUGAAAGCCCGUUAAAAC